AGGACCGGAGUGGACGAACCGCUGGUGUUCGGGUUGUCAUGCCAAUGGCAUUGCCCGGUAGCUAAGUUCGGAAUUGAUAAGCGCUGAAAGCAUCUAAGCGCGAAGCGAGCCCUGAGAUGAGUCUUCCCUGGCACUUUAAGUGUCCUAAAGGGUUGUUCGAGACUAGAACGUUGAUAGGUUGGGUGUGUAAGCGCUGCGAGGCGUUGAGCUAACCAAUACUAAUUGCCCGUGAGGCUUAACCAUACAACACCGAAGGGGUUUUGU
rnacentral:rRNA from 1 species